AUGUCGGCUCAUCUCAUCCUGGGGCUGGAGCAGGUCCCAAGGGUACGGCUGUUCGCCGUUUAAAGAGGUACGUGAGCUGGGUUUAGAACGUCGUGAGACAGUUCGGUCCCUAUCUUCCGUGGGUGUAGGAUACUUGAGAGGAGUUGCCCCUAGUACGAGAGGACCGGGGUGAACGAUCCACUGGUGGACCUGUUGUUGCGCCAGCAGCAGUGCAGGGUAGCUAUGAUCGGACAGGAUAACCGCUGAAGGCAUCUAAGCGGGAAGCCCCCCUCAAAACAAGGUAUCCCUGAGAGCCGAGGUAGACCACCUCGUCGAUAGGCCAGAGAUGUAAGCGUAGUAAUACGUUCAGUUGACUGGUACUAAUUGCUCGAUAGGCUUGAUUUGAUCCAG
rnacentral:rRNA from 1 species